rfam:Loxodonta africana unplaced genomic scaffold scaffold_9, whole genome shotgun sequence.
CCCUGGGUGGUGCAAAUGGUUGACACAUUUGGCUGCUAACCAAAAGGUUGGAGGUUCAAGUCCACCCAGAGGCA